rnacentral:misc_RNA from 1 species
AACGCAAGUUGCGCUCCCAUUUGCGUGGGAGCAUGCCUCUUUGAGUGUCGGUUUUCAUACCGCUCCAGCGCUCUUUAUUGGAGAACUGGGACAGUGAGCGCUUUCGGCCCGUAACACGGCCGUCGCUUGAAGGCUCGGGACGUCGGCGAUGGUCACCAUACCAAACAACGACCGAAACCAGGUUUCAACGUGGGUAGGUCUCGCUUCGGCGACACACGACACGCUGGAUCACACUGGCUCGGCCUGUUGGGUGCCAUCUUCGCUGUUUUUCCGUACGCCGGUGUGAGGUCGGUUUCACUGCCGUCCUCAGCCUUACCGGCCGCCGCACCCUUUACGGGGCGCAGCGAAACACACUCCAACCUUCGACCUCAAAUGAGGCAAGAAGACCCGCCGAAUUUAA